UAUUAAUUCAACAUCGAGGUCACAAACUUAGCUAUUAAUAAGAACUUGCUAGCUACAUAAUGCUGUUAUCCCUAAAGUAACUUUAUCCCUUUGCUAAAAAAAAAAUUACAAAAAUUCCCAUCUUCAAAAAUUGCCCCAAUCAAAAAAUACAUAAUUUUUAAGCUUUUAGGGUCUUCUCGUCCCAAGAAUUAAUAAAAGUAUUUUUACUUUUAAUCUAACUUCAAAAUAAUUAAACAAAACCUCCUCUUUAGUUUCUACCCUUCAUCCCAGUUUACA
rnacentral:rRNA from 1 species